rnacentral:lncRNA from 1 species
AUGAUCAAAUUUAAAAUAAUAUUAUUAUGCCAUACUAGAGUUUAACCAGGACAAAUCAUCAUGAUUUAACUAUUAGAAAAACAUGCAUAAAAUUCAUGGUUUAUUGCUUGAGAGUGAGACUCACCAAAAUAGAAUUUAUUGAAUUCCUCUUUUUUCUUUUUUUGGUAAAUAUCAAGAAAACAAUAAAAAAAAUUAAGGCCAAGAACGGACCCAACGACUUGCUUCAAUAAUAAUUAGGUAAUUUCUUCCUGUGGUGCCAACGGUUUUGACUUGUAGCAGGGAUUGGAUAUCAGCAGCAGCUGGUGCAAACUUCCGGUCUAGCUUUGAUCUCGGGAGCAAUAGGUUGAUCCAAGACUUUCCUCUGUUGACCAUGGAACAACAAUGAAUCUGAUGGUUGAGUAGGAGAAGGAGAGAGUGAUGUAAGAUGAAUAACCUCGCUUGUAGUUUGGAUGAUUGCAGAGCACCCGAUUGUGUUUAAUGCCUCCCAUUUACAGAUACAAAGGCAGACUUCUCAACCAACCAGCGAGUCAGUGUUGGGAAGUGUUCUAGGGACUGGAUGAGCGGAUUCCGUCUAUCCUUCAUUGAAGAAGGGGAGGUCUAGACAAGGACUUUCCGAGUCGCACUUCAUUGAAGGUGGUUCGGAUAUCGGAAAUGUCCAAUCCUUUUUUUUGUUAGGUGAACUCAAUGAAUGAACAGGAAAAGAGGUGCGAGGUGACCCACCACUAUAAGAAAAUGAAGGCCAUUGCGGUGCGAGGUGACCCACCACUUGUUGCCACUUCCAUCUCAAUGUCUUUAUCUUCCUUACUAGCUGAUCUUUGGGCAUCUUGUAGGAUUAAUGUUGAUGAUAAUUAAUAAAAGAAAGGGUAAAUUAGUCAAUCAAUUUUUAAAAAAAAUUAUUUUAGGCACCAAAA